GGAAACACCUUCUUGGAAGCUGCCUGCCUCUUUGUUCUUUCCAUCAGUCUAAAAUAAAUAUCACUGAAAAUGUCUCAUUCCUCUUUGUGUAUACAAAGAUCAUGGGAGCACUUACAAGUCACCCUCUUUCAGAUACCACGUACAAAACCAGAGGAAAUAACAAUGUUUGGGUCUUUCAAGAAAACCAAAAAUGUCCAUAUUUCUUUGGCAGACAUUCUUAUUUUGUUUUUCCAGGCUGAAAAGCAUGGAAGUACCCUUUCCACCUCUUUCCACUUCCCUGUCACUUACAAAUUCAAGGCUGAUGAUGUUUGAACUCACAUAAAAUUUGGAAGUGAGUGGAAAAACACACCCAGCUGACCAAAAGGGAAAUUGCAUCCUCUACUUGCUACUGUCCUCCUCCCUAUGUUUACCUUCUUUCUGCAGCCUCAGUGCAGAAACUGAAGAAACUGUAGCCACAGCAUCCCACCAGAACACAAGUAGUCCUUGUGCAGAACCUGUCUGCAGCCCAUGAAGAGGAAGAUGAAGUCAGCGGCAACCUGGAUAUAAGUCAAGCACAGGGCAGGCAUGCCAAACAGAGUGGAAGUAAAUCAUGUUAAUGGAGCCUGCACUGGCAUUCCUGUUUGGGUGUCUUGGUGACCAUUACAUCUUACAAGUGGACUUAAACCAGCCUCAACUGAGAUAUCCUUCCAUUAUCUCUGCCUUCAUUGGGGUCUCUUCGUCUGUUGCUAAAAAGAUUUCAAAAGGGGCAAAAAUAGGAAAUGUACUAAAAUCCUCAUGUUUAACAUUGCCUAAAUAUAUAAGAAACCACUCCCUGGCAGCUGUGGCACAACUGUCGGCCAAAUGAGUAAAAAAUGUGCAUCACAAUUUUUCUCUCUUUAGUCUGAGCAACCAAAUCUAUUCUGGAUUCUUCCAUGAUUUGUCACAAAUGGUAUGGCUGGUAUGCUCUGCAGUGAUAUGGUUGGUAUGGAAGGAAAGAGAAUGCUGUGCCUGUUUCUUUGUGGGAAAAAAAAAAAAAAAAAAGCCUUAAAAAAGCUCUGAGCACAGACUUGGACAUAGUUCAGUUUUCAUCAUGUUAACGAGGAACAGUAAUGUUAAAA